rnacentral:rRNA from 1 species
UACGGGGGGGGCAAGCGUUGUUCGGAAUUACUGGGCGUAAAGGGCGCGUAGGCGGCCUGCUAAGUCACACGUGAAAUCCCUCGGCUCAACCGGGGAACUGCGUGUGAUACUGGCGGGCUUGAAUCCGGGAGAGGGAUGCGGAAUUCCAGGUGUAGCGGUGAAAUGCGUAGAUAUCUGGAGGAACACCGGUGGCGAAGGCGGGCAUCCUGG